AUACAGCAAAACUGCAAAGGGCUCAUUAUAUCAUUUAUAGUUUAUUUGAUAGUCCCUUACUAAACGGAUAACCGUAGUAAUUCUAAAGCUAAUACGUGCGUAAAGCGCGGCUGCCUCUCGGGGGCAGGCGUGUGUAUUUAUUAAAUGUACCCAACCCGGCUUGUCCGGUUUUAGGUGAAUCAUAUUAACUUGACAAAUCGCAUGCCUUGAGCGGCGAUGGAUCAUUCAAGUUUCUGCCCUAUCAGCUUUCGAUGGAAGGGUAUUGGCCUACCAUGGCGUUGACGGGAAACGAAAAAUUAGGGUUCGAUUCCGGAAAGGGAGCCUGAAAAACGGCUACCACAUCCAAGGAAGGCAGCAGGCGCGUAAAUUACCCAAUCCUAACACAGGGAGGUAGUGACAAUAAAUAACAAUACAGAACUCAUUGAGUUAUGUAAUUGGAAUGAGAACAAUUUAAAUCCCUUAUCGAGUAUCAAUUGA
rnacentral:rRNA from 1 species